rnacentral:rRNA from 1 species
GCCGCGGUAAUUCCAGCUCCAAUAGCGUAUAUUAACGUUGUUGCAGUUAAAAAGCUCGUAGUUGAAGUGUGGGUGAUCGCUGUUGUGAGACUUCGGUCUCUCGAUAGUAAGUCACCCCCUUCCAGUAUCCAGUAGUGGGUAUUCACUUACUUACUACUGUGUGUUGGUCCUUUACUGUGAGAAAAUUAGAGUGUUCAAAGCAGGCGUUUGCUUGAAUAGAUUAGCAUGGAAUAAUAAUUGAAGGCUUUCGUGUUCGAUUUGAUUGGUUUGUUCAUGGAAGCAAGGUUAAAAGGAACAGUUGGGGGUAUUCAUAUUCACUAGUUAGAGGUGAAAUUCUCGGAUUUAUGGAAGAUGAACAAGUGCGAAAGCAUUUACCAAGGAUGUUUUCAUUAAUCAAGAACGAAAG